GGGGAGCACUGGGGAGACGAGUUGGGCAGCCACCUUAUAGGUUGAAAUACCCAACCAAAUGCGGGCAUCUUUUUCAUUCCUCGACAAAAUUAAGCAUCGGUUAGUUAUUAUUAGCUUGUAGGUUAUUCAGGUUGUUAUGUUGGCCCAAGUAGGUUCUUCUUUUGAUAUGUACAGCCAUAUACUCCUCAUGCUUGCAGUUCACCAUGACAUGGUUGACUUGUGCGAGU
rnacentral:lncRNA from 1 species